rnacentral:rRNA from 1 species
GGAUGCGAUCAUACCAGCACUAAAGCACCGGAUCCCAUCAGAACUCCGAAGUUAAGCGUGGUUGGGCGAGAGUAGUACUAGGAUGGCUGACCUCCUGGGAAGUCCUCGUGUUGCAUUCC